CUCUCUCUCUCUCUCUCUCUCUCCGCCUUCUCCCCCGUGAUACGUAGCAAGUACGUCGCUCUAAAUAUUUCGACGCGAUACCGUGCUUUUAAUUUCUCACAAAUUACGCCCUUCUUAGCGAUAAAAAACCGGCUCGUCGAUCUUCUCAUAUAUUUUUACCAUCGGGUCUCUGUUUGACUUCUUCGAGAUGGAGGAGGCUGUAAUAUCCAGUGACUACACGUGCGACUACCUACGCCUGCAUCGAGAAUACGUAAUGAGGAAACCGUUCGAUGACUUUAAGAUGGCCUAUCGUGAUACACGAUUCUUGUAUCGUUAUGUAUUCUAAGCUUGAGUUACCAACGAACAAAGGAUACGUCGUAUUGCUAAAAGAAAGCGAAACUUAUUAAGGGAAACGAUCGAAAGGAGAGAAUAAUCGACGAUCGCUUUUAAUUAUAUCGAUCAGUCGAAUUAUUUCAAUAAGUAAAACAAGUAUAUUCUUCGAAUAAACUAUCGAAGAGAUAAAAAACAAAACGCGUAUCGAUAAAAUAUGAAACGUAAACUUUCCAAAGCUUUCUAUGGCAUCUGUAUUUUUUCUCAAGCGUUUUAAAAAUAGAGUAUUCACCCUGCUGUUACGUU